rnacentral:lncRNA from 1 species
CAUUGAGAUUGUGUUGUCGAUGAGAUGACAUUCGCAGGGCACAAAAAAUCUAGAGUUCAGGCUGCAAAUCACAAAUUCUGUACCUCUUCUACCACCUCUGAUGCUGCCAUCAAAGUUGAUCUUGAUAUAACCUGAGGGUGGGGGCUCCCAAGUGAUGAACACCAAUCGGGGCACUGUCAGAGACUCAGAGAAGUCAAAGAGUCCCGGAUGUCCCAAGUGGCUAAGAUCGAACCGAUCAGUAUGCAGCACAUGGCCUCCAUAGCCUAGAGUGAGGCCAUUUUAAGGGUGAGCCUCAUCGACUGCCAAACCUCCUCGAAUAUGCAUAUGUUCCUAGCCAACCAGAUGUAGUAGACAAUGUAAGCCGCUAAAGUACCCAUGGCCCUAGACGAGUCACUCUCCAUGCUUCUCCGAAGAGCCUCUAAGAAGGACUGAGUUGGCUUCGUGGGGGUAAUGAUCAUGGCAAGAAGGUCAAUCAUCCUCCACACAUGCCAAGCUCGAGGGCAUAAGAAAAUGACGUGGUCAUCGAUCUCCUCCUUUAUAUCACAAGAUGGACAGAUCAUCAGGAGCUCCAUGCCUCUAGUUGGUAGAACCAUCUUUGUUAAAAGAUGGCACCAUACCACUUUUCAAAUGAAUAAGCUGACUCUUGAGUGGAUAUGCAACCUCCAGAUCCAUAUCCCAUUCAAUCUCCUGAUCAAGAGUCCCUUGUAAGCCUCGUACACAUCCCUGGUCACCACUCUCG